rnacentral:rRNA from 1 species
GAUGAACGCUGGCGGCGUGCCUAAUACAUGCAAGUCGAGCGAACAGAUGAGGAGCUUGCUCCUCUGACGUUAGCGGCGGACGGGUGAGUAACACGUGGAUAACCUACCUAUAAGACUGGGAUAACUUCGGGAAACCGGAGCUAAUACCGGAUAAUAUAUUGAACCGCAUGGUUCAAUAGUGAAAGACGGUUUUGCUGUCACUUAUAGAUGGAUCCGCGCCGCAUUAGCUAGUUGGUAAGGUAACGGCUUACCAAGGCAACGAUGCGUAGCCGACCUGAGAGGGUGAUCGGCCACACGGGAACUGAGACACGGUCCAGACGACUAAGGGAGGCAGCAGUAGGGAAUCUUCCGCAAUGGGCGAAAGCCUGACGGAGCAACGCCGAGUGAGUGAUGAAGGUCUUCGGAUCGUAAAACUCUGUUAUUAGGGAAGAACAAAUGUGUAAGUAACUAUGCACGUCUUGACGGUACCUAAUCAGAAAGCCACGGCUAACUACGUG